CCUACGGGUGGCAGCAGUGAGGAAUAUUGGUCAAUGGGCGGGAGCCUGAACCAGCCAAGUCGCGUGAGGGAUGACGGUACUGAGUAUUGUAAACCUCUUUUGCCAGGGGACAAAGGCGGCCACGGGUGGCCGUAAGAAGGUACCGGGAGAAUAAGCACCGGCUAACUCCGUGCCAGCAGCCGCGGUAAUACGGAGGAUGCGAGCGUUAUCCGGAUUUAUUGGGUUUAAAGGGUGCGAAGGCGGCGUGUCAAGGUUGCGGUAAAAUGUCGGGGCUCAACCCCGGCCGGCAGUUGAAACUGGCGUGCUCGAGUUGGAGGAAAGUAUGCGGAAUUCGUGGUGUAGCGGUGAAAUGCUUAGAUAUGACGAAGAACCCCGAUUGCGAAGGCAGCAUGCCGGCGCCACACUGACGCUGAUGCACGAAAGCGUGGGUAUCGAACAGGAUUAGAUACCCGGGUAGUC
rnacentral:rRNA from 1 species